UAUAUAUAAAAAAUAGCGAGUGAAACUUUAUUAUACAUUAUUUAAACCAAAAGGAUUACCUCCUUUCACACACGGUCUCCUAGAAAAUCUCCAAACAAUAUGUUGAGUUGUUUCUUUGGUUCAAAAGCCAUACUCUGUCUUUCUCUUUUUUAUUAAGUUAUUCAUAUGCAAUAAUAACGGAACCUACAAUGAGAAGAUAGUUGAAGCAUUUGAUACCUAUAAAUAAAAUACAUUUCUUGAUAGUAGAAGUAUCUUGAUUAUUGACAUAUGAUUUAAAGGUCAAACAUAGUUCCAAGAAGAUCAAUAUUAAGGAAAAUAAAUGAUAGGAAUAAAUAGCUCAACUAACUGGUUUAUAAUUAUUUGUAAGGAAGAUAUGUAAUCAUUAGGCAAGAUAAUCACCGAAGCGAGUGGGAAAAUACGAUCUCCAUUAGGCAAUUGGAUUAAAAAAAGUUAAAAAGGUAUUGACUUUGCGGAAGUCGAGGUAAGGUUUAUAACAAUUAGUUUUCUACUUUAUGGCAUAAUGAUGACCUCAUUCAAGCACAAUAACUAUUGGUUACACCACACAUCUCACGUCUCAAAGUUAGUCGAUAAUACAACACAAAUGGGGAUAUAUUUAUACCUAAAAAUAAAUUACAUGUAAGUUGAUAUUGACAAAAUAGACUAAGCCAUGCGAGUGAAGACACAAUCAAACAUGAAUCACCUAAAAUUUUCUCAAAUCUAUUAGAAUCCAUCAUGGUUUCCAAUACCUCAAAUUCAGUCAAAACACAAUAUGACUAAACAAUCGGACUUUAUGGUCUUGUUACGUCUUAAGAAUGCCAUUGGUUAAAAAAGUCAAAGCUAAAGGGCUUGCUAAACUAACUAGAGACAUUGGAAGUCAAAUUCAUAAUAUUGGAUGCUAUUUUUUCAGGUGAUAAAAAGUGAAGAAAAACUAGAAGAACAAGAGAUACAUAUGACUUAUGGUGAAAGUAUUACUAAUAAGGAAGUUAAAUCACCUUUUCAAAAGAAGUUUCCAACCUUUGAAGCAUAAUGUCCACUUAUCGAAGUCAACAUAGGGACCCACAAGGAACAUAUAAUGAUUGUAGUUAAUGGAUUACAUACUUAGUCAAUAGGGGGAUUGAUGGAAUGAUAUAAAUGUUAUUUUAUGUUGAGCUAUCAUAAAGUGUCAGGUUUGGCUAAGGAGUUAGUCAAACACGAAUUACCAGUCAAGGAAAUACAUUAGCCAUGCAAAUAAUACCUAAGAGUUAAUCCUCCACUAAUGCCUCUGAUUAAAAUGGAAAUAUAAAAGCUUCAUUCGAUCAAAUAAAUAUGUCCAAUGGGUAUCCAACAUAAUACUUAAAAUCUAGAAUAAUGGUUAGAUCAUAUUUUACACAAACUAUAUAAACUUGAGCUUGGUCACUCCUAAAAUGAGCAUUGAGUGCGAGUAAAAGACAUGUUAGUUAAUGCUACUACUAGCCAUACAAUUCUUACAUUCAUGGAUGCAUACUCAAUAGGCAUAUAAUUUUACAUUAGAAAGUCUCGCCUCAGCUGAAAAAAGGUUAGACGAGUCAAAGUACAACCAAAUGCAAGAAAUUGAAAUCUUUCUUAGGUUUAUUGAACUUCACCAAGGUUGUGAGACUGUUAAAAUCAGUCUAGACUUGAUAAAACUUGAUUAUCAUACAACUUACAUAUGCUUCAUGUUUAUGACACCACUAAUUAGAGAAAGCUAGAGUAAAUAAGUCAUACAAAGGUAGUUGCACACACGUGGACAAAGACAAACUAGAAGUGACGAGAAAUGAGAUAAACAAGUCGAAUGUGAGGCACCACAAAUUUCAAUAGCUAAAAAACCCUCAAAUCACCAACGUAAAAUAACCGAACAAGACUAAUUUUCUUAGGCUACACUAUUUUUGGUCAAUAAAACUAAUGUUUUCCUAUAAAUAUUAAACUUAUAGAUUUUUUUCAACACACAAUCAAUCUAAUAAACUAUUUUACGCAUUUCUUAACUAAAUAACUCAAUCACUAAAAUAACAUGCUUAACCGUUUUAGAUUAAUUAAGGAACUUAAUUCUAUAUUAUAAUUGCAAUCACUAAAAGAAAAACAAGUUACUGCUAAAAGCUACUUCCUUAGUUUUUUUUAUAAGUCACUUUGGAGAAAAACUUAUACAAAAAUAUAAGUCGUUUUGCAAUACAAUUAAAUCAUUAAUAUUAUUUUUUUAAUUAUACCUUUAGAUAUUUAUUAUAUAUCUUCUUUGAAUGAUUUAAAUUUAUAUUUUUCAUGUAAUUAAUGAAAAACAGUAUUAUAAAAUACUUAAUAAUUUCUUUUUUUUAUAUAACAAUGAUUAUUUUUCUUAAUACAUAUGAAAAAUAAAAAGAUAACCUAUAAAAAAAACAAAGGAAAUAUUAGCCGAAAUCUCAAUAGACUUUUCAAUUCAACAAUGUCUAUCUAAGACAACUCCUAAGAAAAUACCCUAAUAAUAUUUAAAUAAAAAGUUAGAUAAUUUUAAAAAUAUUAGAUAACUAAAUACAUCACCAUACAUACAUAUAAUAAAAACCGGAUACAAGAUCUUGCCGAGUUCAAUAAAAACUUGACUUAGAUUAGAUAUUUAUAAAUAAAAAAGAAUAAAUACAUAAAUAUGAGAUGCAAUUUUUACCUUCAAAAUUUAACCGGAUUCGUUUCAUCUCCCUUGUUUGGUUUGGUAUAUAAAUUAACGCGCCCCUUAAAUCCUCCUCCUUUUAAUCUUCUCUCACCGUUUCUCUAAAACCCAAACUUCACACUCUUGGCGGCUACACCACACCUUUCUUCUUCACUCUCUCAAUUAGAUCAUGGCAGCUGUUGCUCCGUCCUCUGACAGUAUCCUUCUUUCUCGCUUUCUCAUCUCCGUCUUUUUUUUUCGUUUUCAUAUAUUAACUAAUAACCAUUAGGUUUUUUUUUUUUCAUCCAAUUUCUGUUGUAUGCAUGUGUACUCUCUUUCCUAGGGUUUCUUAAUUUCUUGCCUUGCCUUUAGUUUUUGUAGUUCAUAACUGUAACCUAAUGGUUAUUAAUAUAUGUAU
rnacentral:lncRNA from 1 species